rnacentral:rRNA from 1 species
GACGAACGCUGGCGGCGUGCUUAACACAUGCAAGUCGAACGGGAUCCGGGCUUUCGGGUUUGGUGAGAGUGGCGAACGGGUGAGUAACACGUGAGUAACCUGCCCCCUUCUUUGGGAUAACGUCGGGAAAUCGGCGCUAAUACUGGAUAUUCUUGCUGCAUCGCAUGGUGUGGUUUGGAAAGGGUUUCUGGUGGGGGAUGGGCUCGCGGCCUAUCAGCUUGUUGGUGGGGUGAUGGCCUACCAAGGCUUUGACGGGUAGCCGGCCUGAGAGGGUGUCCGGCCACACUGGGACUGAGACACGGCCCAGACUACUACGGGAGGCAGCAGUGGGGAAUAUUGCACAAGGGGCGCAAGCCUGAUGCAGCGACGCCGCGUGAGGGAUGACGGCCUUCGGGUUGUAAACCUCUUUCAGUAUGGAACAAGGAUCCUUCUUUUGGGGGGUUUGAGGGUACGUGCAGAAGAAGCGCCGGCUAACUACGUG